GGGGAGGUGCGCUGCCCGGCUCCCGUAAAGUUAUUGUGAAUGGGGAGCGGGUGACGUCAGCGCCGAAUGUCAACAAUGUAGCGAUUGAGAGUGUGGGCGUUCCGGGGAGAGCGGGAGCCGAGCGGCCCGGAGCAAACAGCGCCGAGCAGCCGCCGCCUCAGCAGCAGCGGCAGCAGCGACCGUGCACGCCCGGGCUGCGGUCGCAGCAGCGCUAACGCGAGCGCCCGCCGCCGCCCUAGCCACCCCGCCUGCCCACUCCCGCUGCCGCCGGGCUCUCGCUUUCUCCCCGGCCUCCCCUCGACCCUUCCCCUCCCCCUUCCCGGCACACUCGGGGGGCUGGGAACGUGCUGCCAUGUGAUGCGCGUCCUCUCCGCGAGCUUUCGGUGACCCCCCCUCCCAGGCUGCGGACCGGGAGGACGCGGGGAAGAGGAGGCGGAAAAGGACGCAAAGUUCUCUGGCGAGUGCAGCUGUCUGCUUCAGGACGUGAGGUCUGCAGGAACAAGGUGAAUCUUUAAGAGCUGCCUUGCAUUGUGACAUGUCUACUCCCUUGCUGCAGUCCUUACAGCAUGAACAAGGUGGACACUCGCUGACCUGUCACAGGGUUGCCCCACAGAGCUUUGGGGUCCAUGUCUGAAUGGAUUGCCGUAGCCUUCUCUUCUCUCCCUUCGCCCAGUUCCCUGCAUCCUAAGACUUGAAGCCAGCACGGGACCUGGAAAAAUUACAUCAUUCCGGGAAGUUUCAGUUUAUGAAGCAUCUUCACCAAGAAGUAAAAGAAAUGGGUUGGAUCGAAGGCUCCUUAAUCUCCCUCCUGCUCCUGCUUUCCUGCUUUGGCGUCUGUGAGUGUCCACGUUUACACUGCAGGUUUUCCUGAUAGGUGACCUUUGAUGUCAGUGAGUGUAAUAACUCCGAGCCAGUACGGGUAGAAGGCUGCUGUGACACCUCAGGCAACUUGGAGCUGCAGACUCCUGCUGGCCCUGGCGCCACCUGCCUGAAGCUCUCCCUGCAGCCUUGGGUGAAACACUCAAGGCACCAAGUGCCUAGCGCAUCUCUAUAAAGAUAUCAUGCAUGUGGAGGCGAGGGGUAUGUGGGACCCCACGGUGCUUUCCCUGCAGUUUUGCAGUCAACCUGAAACUGCACUAAAACAUUAAGUUUAUUAAUUAAAAAAAAACUGAAUACCCAACGGUAUGAUGAUUCCUCAAAAAUUUAAACACAGAACGACCAUAUGAUCCAGCAGUUCCACUUCUGGGUAUAAAAGAAGUGAAAGCAGGGUCUUGAACAGGUGUUUGUACACUCAUGUUCAUACAGCAUUAUUCACAAUAGCCCAGAGGUGGAAGCAACUCAAGUUUCUAUCAGCAAUGACUGAAUAAAGAAAAUGUGGUAUAUACAUACAAUGGAAUAUUAUUCGGUCUUAAAAAUAUGAAAUUCUGACACAUGCUCCAACAUGGAUGAAACAUGGCGAUACCAAGUGAAAUAAGCCAGACGCAAAAUGACAAAUAUUAUAUGAUCCCACUUAUAUGAGGCACCUAGACUAGUCAAAGUCAUAGUCAGAAAGUAUUUAGAAGGGUGGUUGCCAGGCGCUGGGAAUAAAGAGGAAAGGGAAGUUAGUGUUUAAUGGGUACAGAGUUUCACUUUGGGAAGAUGGAAAAGUUCUGGAGAUGGAUGGUGGUGAUAGUUACACAAUAAUGUGAACGUACUUAAUGCAACUGACCUGUACUCUUAAAAAUGAUUUACGUGGUAAAUGUUAUGUUAUGGGUAUUUUACCACACACACACAAAACCCCUGAAUGCCAGAGCUUACCUUCCUUCUAAGAAUACUGGGCGGAAUACUAAGUAGUGCUUGACAGGGAUGCUGUAGUUUGGGAGGGCGGAAGAAGCACAGAUGACUCUGUCCCUCACACCUCCAUCAGCCCUGACACUACCCUGGCCCCCUCUGGGAAAAUGUAAGGGACCUGCAGAAUGUUAGACUUCAGUCUUAGGAAUAGGUUUCCUACCGGGACAAGGACAUAUUUGUCAGAAGCCACUAGGGAAAUUUGCCAUCAAUGACCAUCAUCUCUUUCAGAAUGCCAUUUACACACGCAGGAAAGCUGCUUCACUGUGAUGGAGGGGACGUGUACCCUCCUGUGUUCCUGUCAUGGGGCUGCUGCAGUUCAUGUGAAUUGUGUCAUCAUAAAUGAGUCCGUGUACCACGCCCCGGGAUGCGUGCCUAGUGGCGGCAGGUGACAGGUCUUAGCAGUGGAGGCGGAUGUGGAAGCAGGAACCAGGGGAUAUAGACUUGCCACAGACUGAAGCCUAGUAGAAAAUGGAAACUUGGAAAGAAAAUUAGUAGCAAAUAGUUCUCCUGCAACAGGGCUUCUAAUUAUAAUGCCUGUUUGACCUUCUCCCGGUGAAGUACAAUUCAUCCCCCAUCACCAAAUCUCUGUAAUAUUGGGCACUAUGGUACCCAUAAAUCACAAAACAAUUGUAUGAAUGACCUGCAGGCCUGUGAGAAAAAUGCAGGAUUGAACCCACUAAGUCCAUUUGGGUCCUCCUUUGGGGGGGAUUUUGCUUUUUAUUCUAAGUUUCUAGAAAGCUGGCCUUGCAGAAUGAUCAGUGAAUUCUCACGGGGCUAGUAGCCAUGUUUCCCUCAGGUCUCCUUUACUUUACUACUUUACUAUUUUACUUUACUCCUUUCAGGCCCUGCCCUUAGGUCUGACCAGGGAUUGUAAUUCCUGAAGAGCGGUGCAUAAGGAUCCAUAGUUUCAAAGAGCUCAAAAACCUCUGUCCUAAAUUAUCCCACUUCCUCCAUAAGACAUCAGAAUCACUUAGAUAUGUGAGCGUGCGUGUGUGUGCACUAUAUACAUAUACAUACAUACAUAUUGUAUACAUAUACGUACAUACAUACAUGCGUAUGUAUGCAUUUGGCUCAAGGAAAAGGUAUAACCAAAAAAGAGGUGAAAUAAAGUCAUCAAAGUUGAAGUACAAUACACAUAAAUCAGUCUCUCAUUCCCACCCCCGACUUCCCAGACCUGCUUAGAAGUAAACUCUCCAUGCUUUUCACUUAGGUGAUGGACAACAGGGCGUAGCAACAAAGGUUUUGGAGUCAGUUGCCAUAGGGAGCUGCUAAAAUAUCAAAAAACUGGAAUUAAAGGUUUUUAUAGAAAAGAAAAUCCAGGUGAGCAAGGUCUAAGAGAGAGGAGAAGUAGGUGCUUAUUCAUCUUUGCACCCUAAGCGUGAGUUGAAACGACAUGGAUAUAGACUCUGAUCAAAACAAAUUCGGCGCCAGGAGUUUGGAGACCAUGAUUUUUGGGUGGACGCCCUGACACAGAUUCCCUGCAACGGUGACCCAGAGGAAAAGACAUGAGGUAGAGAAAACCACCAAAGACCGACCCUCGGGGGCUCUCCUGGUCAGCUCUCAUGGCCCCAAGAAUCAGAUGUGCCUGGUUACAGGCACUGAAUUCGUAUUUAGCGAUGGCUCAGCUACCUGCGACCCAAGUAACCAGAACCCUGAAUUAACCAGCCUUCAUACUUCCUACCCACCCCCUCCCAUACCCCACCCUACCGCUCACAUCUCACUUCCCUUUUUCAGUGAUAAAGAUUCAGAAAACAAGAUAGCUCUGGUUUAGUAAAGGUAGAGAAUAUACCCUGGAGGAUAUCUUUAGUUGGUGACACUGACCUGCUGAAUCACUGAGAAUGGUUAAAUCCUUUAUAAUUAGGAAAAGAAACUGCUUUGGAAACGUUUUCAACAAAAAGCAUUUUCUAACUGUCUGUCAAUUCACCGGAAAACUGAAACAAACCAAAACCUCAUCUUGCCUUCAAAUAGUCUAAUCAACUGAGGUUUUAUUGUCUAUUUUUGUGUCUUAAUAAUAAUCUAAAAAUGUUGACUUAGGAUAGAAAAAUAUAUAAUUCAUUUUUAUUCUUGAGAAACCGUGUGCAAGUUUUGGCUUUUACCACCUUUCCAGUGCCAGAGUUUAAAUCUCAGAUAUUCUGUUUACAUUUAUUCUGUUUAUUAUGUUUGG